AGGGAUUUCAAUGGGGGAAUAAACAGAUAAGAUCUUCUGCCUUCUUGGGGCUUGUGGUCUGCUCUAGGCAGUUUUCAUAACCUUUAAGAACUCAGCCAUGUUGCAAGACAAGUCAGUUCUUCAGAUCUUCUGUACAUCAUAUUACCUAUAGUUAAUAAUACAGUAUUCUAUACAUUAAAAUACACUAAGGGGAUAGAGCUUAUGUUAAAUGUUUUUACAACAAACCAACUCAGAAAACAAUACAAGGUAAUUUUUGGAGGUGGUGGAUAUAUUUAGUACCUUGAUUGUGGUAAAAGGUACCACGGUUGUACGCAUAUGUCCACACUCAUCAAAAUGUACACAUUAAAUAUGAGCAAUUAUUUGUAUAUCAGUUAUACCUCAAUGAAGCAUAAAAAGGAAAAAGAAAACAAAAAAGAACUGAGCCAGGUAGAAGCACAAGGAAGAGUGGUGAGACGUCACAUGGGAAGAGCCUCAGGUUCUCCUAGGAGUGGGAGCUCGGUAAAUAUUGGUUGACAAACAAUUGAUGUUGAACAAGCCGUUAACAUCUCUGGACCUGUUCCUUGCUUUCAACAGAAGAGAAAAGCUGGGCAGCGGGCCGUAAACACCGAGUAGCUGAUAUCUGAAACUUCCAAGAAGAAUCACUCAAGAUUGAAAAUCUUCAGAAAGACCUGUGAGAAAAGUGAGGCCUAAAGAGGGAAAGCAACUUGGCUAAACAGCUACAGCCCAGGAAUUGAACUGGAGCAGUGAAGACUACAAAAUCCAUGCAACCCUUUAACUAUACCUUUCUGACUUGUUUUCUAAUAUUAAAAACAAGAAUAACACUGUGUUAGCUUUAGCUGUCUGAGUUGGUUGUUGCAAGGCUUAAAUGAGACAACCUAAUGGGAAAGAAUUUGGAAAACACUGAAUUUGGCAUACUUGUGAGGGAUUCCUCUUAGAAUGAGAGGCUCCUUAUAAUUUUUUAAUCUUCCUGAGCUUGAAGCCCUGUGACCUGGCAAUCAAGAUGGGCUGCAGAAAUAGCACUGGCACAGGAUUUUCCUUUACCAACGAAGAGAGCUGCCUGUGACCAAGUGCAGGGAGCACACAGUCUACCAACGAUAUGAAGAGACUCUGCUUCCUGCUCCUAGGUUGGUGUCACCUACCGCUGAAUGAGCUGAUCCUCUCAGCUGGGGUCUGCUCGUCUCAGUUAGACAGUCUGCUGAAAUGAG